UGUGUAGGCGGUUCCUUAAGUUUGGUGUGAAAUCUCCCGGCUCAACCGGGAGGGUGCGCCGAAUACUGAGGGACUCGAGUGCGGGAGAGGAAAGUGGAAUUCCUGGUGUAGCGGUGAAAUGCGUAGAUAUCAGGAGGAACACCGGUGGUGUAGACGGCUUUCUGGACCGUAACUGACGCUGAGACACGAAAGCGUGGGUAGCAAACAGGAUUAGAUACCCUGGUAGUCCACGCCCUAAACGAUGCAUAUUUGGUGUGGGUCAUUCAGUUGAUCCGUGCCGGAGCUAACGCGUUAAAUAUGCCGCCUGGGGAGUACAGUCGCAAGGCUGAA
rnacentral:rRNA from 1 species